AUUAGACGAAUCAUCUGGAAAGAUGAAUCAAAGAAGGUAAUAAUCCUGUAGUCGAAAAUGUUGUCUCUCUUGAGUGGAUCCUGAGUACGACGGAGCACGUGAAAUUCCGUCGGAAUCUGGGAGGACCAUCUCCUAAGGCUAAAUACUCUCUAGUGACCGAUAGUGAACCAGUACCGUGAGGGAAAGGUGAAAAGCACCCCGGAAGGGGAGUGAAAUAGAACCUGAAACCGUGUGCUUACAAGUAGUCAGAGCCCGUUAAUGGGUGAUGGCGUGCCUUUUGUAGAAUGAACCGGCGAGUUACGAUUUGAUGCAAGGUUAAGCAGUAAAUGUGGAGCCGUAGCGAAAGCGAGUCUGAAUAGGGCGUUUAGUAUUUGGUCGUAGACCCGAAACCAGGUGAUCUACCCUUGGUCAGGUUGAAGUUCAGGUAACACUGAAUGGAGGACCGAACCGACUUACGUUGAAAAGUGAGCGGAUGAACUGAGGGUAGCGGAGAAAUUCCAAUCGAACCUGGAGAUAGCUGGUUCUCUCCGAAAUAGCUUUAGGGCUAGCCUCAAGUGAUGAUUAUUGGAGGUAGAGCACUGUUUGGACGAGGGGCCCCUCUCGGGUUACCGAAUUCAGACAAACUCCGAAUGCCAAUUAAUUUAACUUGGGAGUCAGAACAUGGGUGAUAAGGUCCGUGUUCGAAAGGGAAACAGCCCAGACCACCAGCUAAGGUCCCAAAAUAUAUGUUAAGUGGAAAAGGAUGUGGCGUUGCCCAGACAACUAGGAUGUUGGCUUAGAAGCAGCCAUCAUUUAAAGAGUGCGUAAUAGCUCACUAGUCGAGUGACACUGCGCCGAAAAUGUACCGGGGCUAAACAUAUUACCGAAGCUGUGGAUUGUCCUUUGGACAAUGGUAGGAGAGCGUUCUAAGGGCGUUGAAGCAUGAUCGUAAGGACAUGUGGAGCGCUUAGAAGUGAGAAUGCCGGUGUGAGUAGCGAAAGACGGGUGAGAAUCCCGUCCACCGAUUGACUAAGGUUUCCAGAGGAAGGCUCGUCCGCUCUGGGUUAGUCGGGUCCUAAGCUGAGGCCGACAGGCGUAGGCGAUGGAUAACAGGUUGAUAUUCCUGUACCACCUAUAAUCGUUUUAAUCGAUGGGGGGACGCAGUAGGAUAGGCGAAGCGUGCGAUUGGAUUGCACGUCUAAGCAGUAAGGCUGAGUAUUAGGCAAAUCCGGUACUCGUUAAGGCUGAGCUGUGAUGGGGAGAAGACAUUGUGUCUUCGAGUCGUUGAUUUCACACUGCCGAGAAAAGCCUCUAGAUAGAAAAUAGGUGCCCGUACCGCAAACCGACACAGGUAGUCAAGAUGAGAAUUCUAAGGUGAGCGAGCGAACUCUCGUUAAGGAACUCGGCAAAAUGACCCCGUAACUUCGGGAGAAGGGGUGCUCUUUAGGGUUAACGCCCAGAAGAGCCGCAGUGAAUAGGCCCAAGCGACUGUUUAUCAAAAACACAGGUCUCUGCUAAACCGUAAGGUGAUGUAUAGGGGCUGACGCCUGCCCGGUGCUGGAAGGUUAAGAGGAGUGGUUAGCUUCUGCGAAGCUACGAAUCGAAGCCCCAGUAAACGGCGGCCGUAACUAUAACGGUCCUAAGGUAGCGAAAUUCCUUGUCGGGUAAGUUCCGACCCGCACGAAAGGCGUAACGAUUUGGGCACUGUCUCAACGAGAGACUCGGUGAAAUCAUAGUACCUGUGAAGAUGCAGGUUACCCGCGACAGGACGGAAAGACCCCGUGGAGCUUUACUGUAGCCUGAUAUUGAAAUUCGGCACAGCUUGUACAGGAUAGGUAGGAGCCUUUGAAACGUGAGCGCUAGCUUACGUGGAGGCGCUGGUGGGAUACUACCCUAGCUGUGUUGGCUUUCUAACCCGCACCACUUAUCGUGGUGGGAGACAGUGUCAGGCGGGCAGUUUGACUGGGGCGGUCGCCUCCUAAAAGGUAACGGAGGCGCUCAAAGGUUCCCUCAGAAUGGUUGGAAAUCAUUCAUAGAGUGUAAAGGCAUAAGGGAGCUUGACUGCGAGACCUACAAGUCGAGCAGGGUCGAAAGACGGACUUAGUGAUCCGGUGGUUCCGCAUGGAAGGGCCAUCGCUCAACGGAUAAAAGCUACCCCGGGGAUAACAGGCUUAUCUCCCCCAAGAGUUCACAUCGACGGGGAGGUUUGGCACCUCGAUGUCGGCUCAUCGCAUCCUGGGGCUGUAGUCGGUCCCAAGGGUUGGGCUGUUCGCCCAUUAAAGCGGUACGCGAGCUGGGUUCAGAACGUCGUGAGACAGUUCGGUCCCUAUCCGUCGUGGGCGUAGGAAAUUUGAGAGGAGCUGUCCUUAGUACGAGAGGACCGGGAUGGACAUACCUCUGGUGUACCAGUUGUCGUGCCAACGGCAUAGCUGGGUAGCUAUGUGUGGACGGGAUAAGUGCUGAAAGCAUCUAAGCAUGAAGCCCCCCUCAAGAUGAGAUUUCCCAACUUCGGUUAUAAGAUCCCUCAAAGAUGAUGAGGUUAAUAGGUUCGAGGUGGAAGCAUGGUGACAUGUGGAGCUGACGAAUACUAAUCGAUC
rnacentral:rRNA from 1 species